UUAAUCGAAACCAAAAAAGAGGUAUAUUAUUGUUAAUAAUAAAAUUGAAUUGAAAUUCCGGUUAAG
rnacentral:tRNA from 2 species